GACGAACGCUGGCGGCAUGCUUCAUACAUGCAAGUCGAACGAGAAGUCACCUUCGGGUGGAUGGAAAGUGGCGGACGGGUGAGUAAAAUGUAGGAAAUCUGCCCUAGAGAGGGGGACAACAGAGGGAAACUUCUGCUAAUACCCCAUAUGAGCGUACCUGAAAUGGUAUUCUUGAAAACUCCGGUGCUCUAGGAUGAGCCUGCAUCUGAUUAGCUAGUUGGUGGUGUAAUGGACUACCAAGGCGACGAUCAGUAGCUGGUUUGAGAGGAUGAUCAGCCACAAUGGGACUGAGACACGGCCCAUACUCCUACGGGAGGCAGCAGUAGGGAAUCUUCCGCAAUGGCGCAAGCCUGACGGAGCAACGCCGCGUGAGUGAAGAAGGUUUUCGGUAGUCGUAAAGCUCUGUUGAGAGGGACGAGAGAUAU
rnacentral:rRNA from 1 species